GUGUUAUAUUUUCUGUCCUUUGGCAUCAUGGAGACCAUUCAAUAUCUCUGAUUUAGACUUCCAGUCUAUGCUUCCAAAUGAUCUUAAAGAUUUUUUAUCCUACCUUCAUGCAAAAUAAAGGCAAAAAUCAAGGGGUCAGAUAAAUUUUGCUUUAUCUGGUCAGUGACUAAAUAAAGCUUGGCGGACUACUUUUUGGAUUUUUUUUUAAAACGACGCCAUCUUGUUUUUGAGAAUAACUGCUAAAAGACAUAUUUAUGCAAUUAUUUUCAUAAACGCGCUUUUAUUAGGUAUGUGAGACCAUCACAAAUGUAUAGUGUAUGCAUACCGUACUUGCAAUUACUACAAAAAGUUUUUAUAACGGAAACGCUCGGAGAAACGGAAAGUGACUCAUAUGGCCUAAGACCACAGUUAUUUUUACUAUAUGUUCUAUAUAGGCACUGGACACUAUAGCAAUUUUGCAUGCAUUCCAACCCCUAUAAAAAUACCUGAACUCAACAGAACUAUCCAAGAGAAAAAAUUCCAGCCACAGUAAACAUUGGGUUGACCGGCUCUUUUUUCCACCAUUUUGAACCAAAUCACAUGCGUAUGAAGAAUACUCUCUAGAUGGCCGCAAACAGGCAAAACAGGCCCUAUCAAAAAGUCAUGUUAUGCAUAUUCUGACAUUUACAUUCUGUCAAAUUGUACAUGUACCUACUAUUUUAUAUCUCCUCUAUUAAAUCAUGCCAUCUAUUGCAGGUCUUUCAGUCAAAAAUUCACCAAUAUUCACCAUCAAACAGAGGAACUAUUUUCCGCGUAACCACUUCCGUAUUGUGGUCAACCAAGGGCAAAUAACUGUGGUCUUGUGCCUAUUUAGACCUAUUUUUCUCUCCAAACUAAAAAAUAUUUUACCAGUAUAAUCUCAGAUGUAUAGCAAAUUAAAUCUGAAAGUUA